AGUUUUUAACUCAAGUGGCGGACGGGUGAGUAACACGUAAGAAUUUGCCUUUAGGAGGGGGAUAACAACUGGAAACGGUUGCUAAUACCCUAUAUGCCUUCGAGUAAAAUGGAUUUUUCCGCCUAAAGAGAAGCUUGCGGCUGAUUAGCUUGUUGGUGAGGUAAUGGCUUACCAAGGCGACGAUCAGUAUCUGGUUUGAGAGGACGAUCAGACACACUGGAACUGAGACACGGUCCAG
rnacentral:rRNA from 1 species